GUUUAUGACCAGACCUUUGCCUGGCGGAUCAUCCGGUGUUCCUCACCGGUGCACUUCGCCUGGCUUAGGCCAGCAUCGAUUUCUGGAGGGGGAUAAAGACCAUGGGAACGUAGCUCUCUUCGGGGAGUGUUAUAGCCCUAGGUGUAAUACCCUUCCGGGGAUCGAGGUUCGCGCUCCGGCAAGGAUGCUGGCGUAAUGGUCAUCAACGA
rnacentral:rRNA from 1 species